rnacentral:rRNA from 1 species
AACAAGGUUUCCGUAGGUGAACCUGCGGAAGGAUCAUUGUCGAAGCCUGCCCGGACGACCCGCGAACCUGUUCACGCACACGCCCGGCGACGGCGGGGGGCCGAGUCCCCCUGGCUGCCGCCCCGGCGCCGGCGGCGUGCCCCGCGGCCCCCCCGGGGGCGGCGGGCGUGCCGGCGGCCCCAACAACGAACCCCGGCGCGGGACGCGCCAAGGACAACCCCAACGAGAUGGCACGCCCCCGGCGCCCGUUCGCGGGCGACGCGGGGCGGUGGCUACUUUCGCGAACCGAAACGACUCUCGGCAACGGAUAUCUCGGCUCUCGCAUCGAUGAAGAACGUAGCGAAAUGCGAUACUUGGUGUGAAUUGCAGAAUCCCGCGAACCAUCGAGUCUUUGAACGCAAGUUGCGCCCGAAGCCGUCAGGCCGAGGGCACGUCUGCCUGGGCGUCUCGCAACGCGUCGCCCCCCGACCCCCUCCUGCAGGGGCGCCGGGGGGCGGACACUGGCCCCCCGCGAGCCGCGGCUCGCGGUCGGCCCAAAAACCGAGCCGCCGACGGCGGACGGCGCGGCGAGUGGUGGAGCACGACGCGCCGCGCCCGUCGCCGUGGGCGGUCUCGCGCGACCCCGAAGCGGCGAGAGCAUCGACCGCGACCCCAGGUCAGGCGGGAUCACCCGCUGAGUUUAAGCAUA